rnacentral:rRNA from 1 species
UGGGGAAUAUUGGACAAUGGGGGAAACCCUGAUCCAGCAAUGCCGCGUGAGUGAUGAAGGCCUUAGGGUUGUAAAGCUCUUUCGCCUGAGACGAUGAUGACGGUAUCAGGAGAAGAAGCCCCGGCUAAUUCCGUGCCAGCAGCCGCGGUAAUACGGAAGGGGCUAGCGUUGUUCGGAAUUACUGGGCGUAAAGCGCGUGCAGGCGGUUAGACAAGUGAGGCGUGAAAGCCCUGGGCUCAACCUGGGAAUUGCGCUUGAGACUGGUUGACUUGAGUUCGGGAGAGGGGAGUGGAAUUCCCAGUGUAGAGGGGAAAUUCGUAGAUAUUGGGAGGAACACCGGUGGCGAAGGCGGCCGCCUGGCCCGUAACUGACGCUAUAGCGCGAAAGCGUGGGGAGCAAACA